CUCGCACACCAUUCAGUUCACUCGAUGACGCUCCGCACCUCGCAUUGCUGCGAUUCUCGACUCCAAAAAAAGAAAAAACAAAAAAUACAAAAACCAAGAAAACAAAAACCAUAAAGAAAAAACAACUGCCUCUAACACUUGGCCACCGCCGGCGUGCUUGUUUUCCGAAAGUGUUAAAACAAUAAACCAACAACAAUAACAUCAGCGUUUACAACGGCAUCGGGAACUAUAACACUGUAAUCGAAAGACUAUUGGGCCACAAAUAAAGAUUUAAUGUGCACUUUUCAUAAACAUUCCGCGCCGGCCCAAUGACUGAGUGCUUUAAAUUAUAGCCAUCAUCAAAUCGGAGACCGGUGGCAAACUGUAUAUCGCCAUUAUCUGUUAUUGCACCUAAUCGCCAAUAAGAAUUUAUUAAUCGCGCCUUCGAAUUUCCAUUGCAUUCGGAGCCGACGGCAAGUGACUUUUCCGGAAGUUGUAUUCAGUGAAGUUCAGAGGCGCUUUAAUGAUAAUUUAUUAAAGGUUAUCUAAGUUUGUGGCGAUCUUCGUUUUGGCUCCCCUAAAUAACUACCCAAAUAACUGUAUCAAUAAAAAGCUGUAAUUUAAACUGAGCAGUUUGGUGGCGUAGAUCCAUCCGAAAAUCAGCAGCGGCUGCACCCACCAAGCACCGCCCCCACCAACAACUCUCAGCGGUGGCGUCCGGCCAAAACCACCUCGUUG